CGGCCUCAUACACUUCAAGGUGUUCCAAGGGCGUCCGCCCGAGGGAUGAAACGGGAAGUCGGUGCGCAUCCAUUCAGCAUGCAAGUCCGACGCUGCCCCCGCAACGGUAAGUGAGUAAGGCCGGAUAUCCAUGCCACUGCGUUUUUGACGUGGGAAGGCCAUCCCGCCAAGCAUGACUCACAAGCCCGGAGACCGGCCUUGAGUGAAUGCAGUGU
rnacentral:ncRNA from 2 species